rnacentral:rRNA from 1 species
UGGGGAAUAUUGCACAAUGGGCGCAAGCCUGAUGCAGCCAUGCCGCGUGUGUGAAGAAGGCCUUCGGGUCGUAAAGCACUUUCAGUCGGGAGGAAGGUGGUAAGGUUAAUAACCUUAUCAAUUGACGUUACCGACAGAAGAAGCACCGGCUAACUCCGUGCCAGCAGCCGCGGUAAUACGGAGGGUGCAAGCGUUAAUCGGAAUUACUGGGCGUAAAGCGCACGCAGGCGGUUGAUUGAGUCAGAUGUGAAAUCCCCGGGCUUAACCCGGGAAUUGCAUCUGAUACUGGUCAGCUAGAGUCUUGUAGAGGGGGGUAGAAUUCCAUGUGUAGCGGUGAAAUGCGUAGAGAUGUGGAGGAAUACCGGUGGCGAAGGCGGCCCCCUGGACAAAGACUGACGCUCAGGUGCGAAAGCGUGGGGAGCAAACAGG